UUUCGCAAUGCCCGAAAGGGAGACGAAGCGACGCCGCGUGCGGGAAGAAGGCCUUCGGGUUGUAAACCGCUGUCGGGAGUUAGGAAAUGCAAGGAUGUUAAUAGCGUCUUUGCUUGACUAAGGCUCCGGAGGAAGCCACGGCUAACUCUGUGCCAGCAGCCGCGGUAAUACAGAGGCGGCAAGCGUUGUUCGGAAUUAUUGGGCGUAAAGAGCACGUAGGCGGCCGUGUAAGUCGGUUGUGAAAGCCUUCCGCUCAACGGGAGAACGGCAUCCGAUACUGCAUGGCUCGAGUGCGGGAGGGGAGAGUGGAACUUCUGGUGGAGCGGUGAAAUGCGUAGAUAUCAGAAGGAACACCGGCGGCGAAGGCGACUCUCUGGCCCGUAACUGACGCUGAGUGUGCGAAAGCUAGGGGAGCAAACGGGAUUAGAUACCCCGGUAGUCCUAGCCGUAAACGAUGGGCACUAAGUAGAGGGGUUUU
rnacentral:rRNA from 1 species